UGAUUAUGCCUAGGACUUUGCUUCACCAAUUGCUUAAAACUUUCCUAAGCUUCAUACAAAUGUUCACCAAACUGUUGAUUAAAAUUAAGAAUGUUGGCUCUAGAAUCA